rnacentral:rRNA from 1 species
CAUAGCGACUAUCGUGGCAUAUCAAUAAGCGGAGGAAAAGAAACUAACAAGGAUUCCCCUAGUAACGGCGAGUGAAGCGGGAAGAGCUCAAAUUUGAAAUCCUCAAGGGUUUCCCUUGACGAAUUGUAGUUUAAAGAAGUGUUUUCUGUUAGAGAGGUGGUAAAAGUUCUUUGGAAUAGGACAUCAUAGAGGGUGAGGAUCCCGUAUUUGAUCACUUUCUACUAACGUUGUGAUACACUUUCAAAGAGUCGGAUUGUUUGGGAAUGCAGUCCAAAAUGGGUGGUAAAUUUCAUCUAAAGCUAAAUAUUGGCGAGAGACCGAUAGCGAACAAGUACCGUGAGGGAAAGAUGAAAGAGAACUUUGAAAAGAGAGUUAAACAGUACGUGAAAUUGUCAAAAGGGAAGCGUUUGACACCAGUGUUGUUUUUCCGAAAAUCAAUUAAGAAUGGCCGGAUUUUAAGUUUCAUGUACCUUAAAAGCUUGUUCCUUAUUUUUCUUGUCUUUCUUAAUGCACUUUUCGGUUAACAAGUCAACAUCAAUUUCUUUUGUUGUAAAAGGUUAAGAGGAAGGUGGCUUUACUUUCGGGUAAAGUGUUUAUAGCCUUUUAACUCUGCAAUCGGAGAGAUUGAGGUCUGCAGCGUAGAUCCUUCGGGGCUAGAUACGUUUGUGCUAAGUUAUAGCUUUUCAUAGACAACUUGUUGACUAUGUUUAGUCUUGUAGCUUACUCGCUAUGCGCUAUUUUACCUACGCUUAGGAUGUUGAUAUGCAUGACUGAUAU